rnacentral:rRNA from 1 species
UGGCGGCAGGCUUAACACAUGCAAGUCGAGCGGUAGCAGAUCUAGCUUGCUAGAUGCUGACGAGCGGCGGACGGGUGAGUAACGCGUAGGAACCUGCCCAGUAGUGGGGGAUAGCCCGGGGAAACUCGGAUUAAUACCGCAUACGCUCUACGGAGGAAAGAGGGGGCUUCGGCUCUCGCUAUUGGAUGGGCCUGCGUGAGAUUAGCUAGUUGGUGAGGUAAUGGCUCACCAAGGCGACGAUCUCUAGCUGGUCUGAGAGGAUGAUCAGCCACACUGGGACUGAGACACGGCCCAGACUCCUACGGGAGGCAGCAGUGGGGAAUACUGCACAAUGGGCGCAAGCCUGAUGCAGCCAUGCCGCGUGUGUGAAGAAGGCUUUCGGGUUGUAAAGCACUUUCAGUGGGGAGGAAGGCCUCGUAGUUAAUAGCUGCGAGGAUUGACGUUACCCACAGAAGAAGCACCGGCUAACUCCGUG